rnacentral:rRNA from 1 species
GGAAUAUUGGACAAUGGGCGCAAGCCUGAUCCAGCCAUGCCGCGUGUGUGAAGAAGGCCUUAGGGUUGUAAAGCACUUUCAGUGGGGAGAAAGGUUAUUCACCUAAUACGUGAGUAAAUUGAUGUUACCCACAGAAGAAGCACCGGCUAACUCCGUGCCAGCAGCCGCGGUAAUACAGAGGGUGCGAGCGUUAAUCGGAAUUACUGGGCGUAAAGCGCACGUAGGCGGCUCUGCAAGUCGGGUGUGAAAUCCCCGGGCUCAACCUGGGAACUGCAUUCGAUACUGCAUUGCUCGAGUAUGGGAGAGGGAAGUGGAAUUUCCGGUGUAGCGGUGAAAUGCGUAGAUAUCGGAAGGAACACCAGUGGCGAAAGCGACUUCCUGGACCAAUACUGACGCUCAGGUGCGAAAGCGUGGGGAGCAAAC